GAUGAACGCUGGCGGCGUGCCUAAUACAUGCAAGUCGAGCGAACAGACGAGGAGCUUGCUCCUCUGACGUUAGCGGCGGACGGGUGAGUAACACGUGGAUAACCUACCUAUAAGACUGGGAUAACUUCGGGAAACCGGAGCUAAUACCGGAUAAUAUAUUGAACCGCAUGGUUCAAUAGUGAAAGACGGUUUUGCUGUCACUUAUAGUUGGAUCCGCGCCGCAUUAGCUAGUUGGUAAGGUAACGGCUUACCAAGGCGACGAUGCGUAGCCGACCUGAGAGGGUGAUCGGCCACACUGGAACUGAGACACGGUCCAGACUCCUACGGGAGGCAGCAGUAGGGAAUCUUCCGCAAUGGGCGAAAGCCUGACGGAGCAACGCCGCGUGAGUGAUGAAGGUCUUCGGAUCGUAAAACUCUGUUAUUAGGGAAGAACAAAUGUGUAAGUAACUAUGCACGUCUUGACGGUACCUAAUCAGAAAGCCACGGCUAACUACGUG
rnacentral:rRNA from 1 species